rnacentral:rRNA from 1 species
GGCGGUGUUCGGUACACACAUAGCGUAGUAAUUUAUUUCUCGCUUCUGUCGUGGCCUGAGCUACCCGCCGUAAAACCCCCUAUACUUCUAA